CUGAUCUUCAGUUCUAUCUGAACAGCUGCUUUAUUUAAUCUUCUUCUUACUCUGCUGCACAGCUGUGUUAGUUCAGUUUAUCACUUUAAUUCUACACUUUACACCACAUUUCUAUCUACAUCUUAUUAUCACUUUUACUGAUGCUCUGUUUUUUUCUGUUCUUUUAGAUGACUUUCCAAGCAAGAGAUCUCUGGUAUUAAUUAUUGGAGUUGCAGUUGUUGUACUUUUACUUGUUGUACUUGUGCUGUUCCUGUGUUUGGUAAUCCUCCGUGUUCGGGAAAGGAGAAACAUAAAGCGUGCGGGCCAAGGACAUCUAUACGGCCAAGGAGAUAAACGAACCUCUUCUUUAAGGUCUAAUAUGAAUGAAUUCAUCUGGGAAGUCAUUCAAAUGUGUAAUAGAGAUGCUGUUAUACGACUUAAUUAACCUUCUACCAAUCUGAAGAUGUUACCCAUCCACCUGAAGGUCCUGUUACCCAUCCACCUGAAGAUCCUGUUACCCAUCUACCUGAAGGUCCUGUUACCAAUCCACCUGAAGGUCCUGUUACCCAUCUACCUGAAGGUCCUGUUACCCCAAUCCACCUGAAGGUCCUGUUACCCAUCCACCUGAAGGUCCUGUUACCCAUCCACCUGAAGGUCCUGUUACCCCAAUCCACCUGAAGGUCCUGUUACCCAUCCACCUGAAGGUCUUGUUACCCAUCCACCUGAAGGUCCUGCUGCCAAUAAACAGCCACCCAAUGGAUAAGAUGUACUAUUA
rnacentral:lncRNA from 1 species